UAAAAGUUUUAUUCUUGCUUACUUGUUCGCUCUUUCUUUGUGUUAUAUGCAAGUUUUGUAAUACUAAAUGUUCUUUUUGCAGUAAUUUGAUUUAAUUAUCAAGUGAUUUUGGAAUUAGCAAUUGAUUAAGUAUCGGCAUAUUUCGUGCCAGCAGCCGCGGUUAAACGAUUGAUACAAGUGAAUAUUAUUGGUUGAGGCAGUUAUUUAUAAUUUUUGAGUUAAAUUGUUAAUUUAUAAGGUGAAAUUUUAAAAUUCUUUUGUGGCUCUUUUUAUGAACCUGUGAAACUUAAACAAUAAACUAGGAUUAGAUACCCUAUUAUUUUAAGUGUUAAUUUUGCUUACCAGGGUACUGUUAGUUAAGUUCUUUAAACCCAAAGAAUUUGGCGGUAUCUCAUUCCAUUCAGAGGAACCUACCCCGUAAUUGAUAGUACACGAUUAACUUUACUUAAUUUAUUUGUUUGUAUAUCUCCGUUAUCAGAAAAUCUUUUUAGAGUUAUAAUUUUCUUGAUUUAUAAUUAUAAAAUAUUUCAGGUCAAGGUGCAGCUUAUAAUUAAGAGGAGGUGGGUUACAAUAGAUUUUUGUUUAUUACGAAUUUGAUGGUGAAAAACUUUCAAUGAAGGUGGAUUUGAUAGUAAUUUAAUUUAGUUAAUUUAAUUGAUAUUGGCUCUGAGGUGUGUACACAUCGCCCGUCACUCUCAUUAUUGAUCAUUAUACUUAAGAUUUUUGGUAAGGUAUGUUCAAAUUAAAUGAGAUAAGUCGUAACAUAGUAGAUGUACUGGAAAGUGUAUCUAGUAAGAGGUU
rnacentral:ncRNA from 1 species